GUCACGCCCCAGGACCCGGCAUAGGCCCUGUCCGGUGCGUGCCCAGACCCGCCAUAUGUCUGCACAUAUAAGGCGUCUACAACAAGGGAUAUGAAGAUAGGAAUAAACAGUAACUAACGAUAUCAGAGCAAGUAUACAGCUAAGUUCUAUCAAUAAGUGGAAGUAAAAAGAAAGAAAAGGGCUAAACCAUUAGAGUAUAAUAGAAACUAAUACAUCAAACAUCUCCAGAUACAAAAGUAGGGUGGUCUCUAUAACAAGGUACAAA
rnacentral:lncRNA from 1 species